rnacentral:misc_RNA from 1 species
GGGAAAUUGAUGUGAAUGCCUGCACCUCCACGCCAGAGGUGACUCAACUAAGGAUGAGUUUUUUGAGGGUGUAGAUGUAAGAUAUUCUGGUAAUAGAAUGGAUUAUCCUAAUAUUUCUGUAGUCUCUUCUUCAAUGGAUUCUUUUUGCAAUUCGUAUCUUUAUGCAUUGGAUCAAUAUCAUACAGAUGUUUGACCAUAAUUUCGAAGUUAUUAAGCCAAAUAAAAGGGAACUUUUGUAUUCCUCUAUACCAAUUAUGAUUAUUUCACAUAUCUUGGGUGUUUUGAGUUCAUAAGUAUUGGGUGCUAGGGUUAAUGGUCUGCUUCUUUGUGAUUAGAUUACUGUUUCCUUUUUCUUUUAUUUUCUUCAUUUUUGAGCUGCCUUAGCAUUCUUUCUGGUGUUCUUGCAUUUAAGGAAUUAUCAAGUUCAUGUCAUUUGGUUUAUGCAGAGGUUGAAAGAACUUUGUUUUAUGUUAGGGCUUAUGAUAGUCUUACGCUCUUACUUUUGGAGAAUCAUUUUAAUUUAUGCACAUGGUUCAUUAAAAUUUUUUGUUCUACUCAAAGAACAUUUUACUGUCUCACUUCAAGGAUUAUUCAUUAACAGCCUAUUAUGGUUUUGGAAUUCUUAUAACUAAUAAGAAGAUUUUUUUCAAAUAUUG